UGAUAGGAUAGGGUGCCCGGGAGAACUGGGUAGAGGAGUUUGGGGUCGGGGCGCGGAAAGGCGGGAGGCACCCCGCUGCCUUCGGAGCCUAGCGCGGGGCACGAUGGGACGCCCCCAGGAAGGGGCGGAGCCGUGUUCGACCGCUGGGCCUGCGGUUGGGCUGGGUCUACUUGGUGCCGGGCUCUCGGCUGGGAAAGACUUUGAAGACCAUGUGAUUCAACUUGCGAUGUACAGCUGUGGAAACUGAAGCCCAGAGAGGGUAUGGAACAUACCCAAGGUCACACAGCCGGAAACUACUGGAGGAUGUGGUACACCAAAACAAGAGAAUAAACCAAGAAACAGGAAGACAUGUGAUCCAAGAAACAGGAUAUUUAACAUAGAAGUGCAAGCUAGUAAACAUUAAGCAGGACAAGAACAUCCAGAAGUGUUGGAAACAGAAGUUCAAUAGUGAAAGCUACAGCUGCAAGAUACCAGCAGUGGAACUGCAGGAGCAAUCAGGGUUUAUAAAUGGCAGUAGCAACCCAGUCGACUUCCCUUCAUCUGACACUGACAUCUAUCACAACGUUUGCCAUCAAACUUAGUGGUAAAACCACCAAGCCUCUGAUUUGGUUUCGCAGGGAAAGCAGUUGUUUGGCCCAAUGUUUUUUUAACAUCAGUGUCUCCUAUUCUUGCAUUUGAAACCAAUAUCUCAGUCACUUUGCACCACGAUUGGUACAAGAAGGCAUGUUCCUUCUUGGAUGGGUGUUUGGUAUUAUUGCAAAAGAUAGUCUUAUAAGACAAACCAACUCUGAAACCCUAAAACUAGUAUCUAGUAACAGGUUCAGUUCUCAUCAGGCAAUUUAUUUAGUAAAAAAUGAUACUGUAACUACAAUCUGAGCUAUUUGAUCAAGGGGACAAAAAAAGAUGCUGCAAAUGUAGAUUCAGCACUAUAAACAUAUUACCAAAAGCUUUUAUUUACUGACUUGCCAAAAAUAAAAAGAAUAUCACUAGCCCUCACAUGUGGCUCCAUUAAGUCUUUUUUAUUCUAUUUUUUAAAAUUUAUUUCCCACAUAUGAUCAUUCCCAUCCAAGAAAUCGUUCUGAUAACAUUCUAAAAAGUUCAUCCCAGCACAAUUCAUAAUUGCAAAGAUACAGAACUAACCUAAAUGCCCACCAGCCAAUGAGUGAAUAAAGAAAAUGUGUGCAUUACACACACACACACGGAAUAUUCCUCAGUCAUCAACAAGA